rnacentral:rRNA from 1 species
AUACGGAGGGUGCAAGCGUUAUUCGGAAUCACUGGGCGUAAAGGACGCGUAGGCGGGAAGCCAAGUCUGAUGUGAAAUUCUAUGGCUUAACCAUAGAACUGCAUUGGAAACUGGUUACCUAGAGUAUGGGAGGGGGAGAUGGAAUUAGUGGUGUAGGGGUAAAAUCCGUAGAUAUCACUAGGAAUACCGAAAGCGAAGGCGAUCUCCUGGAACAAUACUGACGCUAAGGCGUGAAAGCGUGGGGAGCAAACGGGAUUAGAAACCCCAGUAGUCC